UACGUAGGAUGCAAGCGUUGUCCGGAAUUAUUGGGCGUAAAGAGCGAGCAGGCGGUUUGGAAAGUUGGACGUGAAAUUUUAGGGCUUAACCCUAAAGGGUCGUCCAAAACUCCCAGACUAGAGUGCAGGAGAGGAAAGCGGAAUUCCCGGUGUAGUGGUGAAAUGCGUAGAGAUCUGGAGGAAUACCGAUGGCGAAGGCAGCCUUCUGGCCUAAUACUGACGCUGAGGUGCGAAAGCAUGGGGAGCAAACAGG
rnacentral:rRNA from 1 species